rnacentral:snoRNA from 12 species
UAGCAAGCCUCCAGCGUGCUUGGGUCUGUGGUGACCCUUUGCAUUCCUACAGUGCUUGCCAAAGCAGUUUUGAAAUGGUUUGAGGCCUUGCCCUGCUCUUUCCAGAGCAAGGUUAUAGAAAUUUCAGACAAUU